GAUGAACGCUAGCUACAGGCUUAACACAUGCAAGUCGAGGGGCAGCAUUAUCUUAGCUUACUAAGAUAGAUGGCGACCGGCGCACGGGUGAGUAACACGUAUCCAACCUUCCGGUUACUCGGGGAUAGGCUUUCGAAAGAAAGAUUAAUACCCGAUGUUGCGUAUCUUUCUCCUGAAAGAUACGCCAAAGGAUUCCGGUAACCGAUAGGGAUGCGUUCCAUUAGGCAGUUGGCGGGUAACGGCCACCAAACCUUCGAUGGAUAGGGAGCUGAGAGGCUUAUCCCCACAUUGGGACUGAGACACGGCCCAA
rnacentral:rRNA from 1 species